GAGUAACACGUGACUAACCUACCUCCGAGUGGGGAAUAACUCCGGGAAACCGGGGCUAAUACCGCAUAACAUCGCAAGAUCAAAGCAGCAAUGCGCUUGGAGAGGGGGUCGCGGCUGAUUAGCUCGUUGGCGGGGUAACGGCCCACCAAGGCGAAGAUCGGUAUCCGGCCUGAGAGGGCGCACGGACACACUGGAACUGAAACACGGUCCAGACUCCUACGGGAGGCAGCAGUGGGGAAUUUUGCGCAAUGGGGGAAACCCUGACGCAGCAACGCCGCGUGGAGGAUGAAGCCCUUUGGGGCGUAAACUCCUUUCGACUCGGACGAUAAUGACGGUACGAGUGGAAGAAGCACCGGCUAACUCUGUGCCAGCAGCCGCGGUAAUACAGAGGGUGCGAGCGUUGUUCGGAAUUAUUGGGCGUAAAGGGCGCGUAGGCGGUGCGGUAAGUCACCUGUGAAAUCUCCUGGCUUAACUGGGAGCCUGCAGGCGAAACUACCGUGCUGGAGUGUGGGAGAGGUGCGUGGAAUUCCCGGUGUAGCGGUGAAUGC
rnacentral:rRNA from 1 species